rnacentral:rRNA from 1 species
CCUACGGGAGGCAGCAGUGGGGAAUAUUGCACAAUGGGGGACACCCUGCUGCAGCGACGCCGCGUGAAGGAAGAAGUAUUUCGGUAUGUAAACUUCUAUCAGCAGGGAAGAAAAUGACGGUACCUGACUCAGAAGCCCCGGCUAACUACUUGCCAGCAGCCGCGGUAAUACGUAGGGGGCAAGCGUUAUCCGGAUUUACUGGGUGUAAAGGGAGCGUAGGCGGCGAUGCAAGUCAGAAGUGAAAGCCCGGGGCUCAACUCCGGGACUGCUUUUGAAACUGUGUUGCUAGAGUGCAGGAGAGGUAAGUGGAAUUCCUAGUGUAGCGGUGAAAUGCGUAGAUAUUAGGAGGAACACCAGUGGCGAAGGCGGCUUACUGGACUGUAAAUGACGCUGAGGCUCGAAAGCGUGGGGAGCAAACAGGAUUAGAUACCCCAGUAGUC